rnacentral:rRNA from 1 species
AUUCGAUUGUGCCAGCAGCCGCGGUAAUACGGAGGGUGCGAGCGUUAAUCGGAAUCACUGGGCGUAAAGAGUUCGUAGGCCGUUUGGUAAGUUAGGGGUGAAAUCCCGCAGCUCAACUGCGGAACUGCCCUUAAAACUGCUGGACUUGAGUACGAGAGAGGGUGGCAGAAUUCCUGGUGUAGGAGUGAAAUCCGUAGAUAUCAGGAGGAAUACCGGUGGCGAAGGCGGCCACCUGGCUCGUAACUGACGCUGAGGAACGAAAGCGUGGGGAGCAAACAGGAUUAGAUACCCUGGUAGUCCACGCCCUAAACGAUGUCAACUGGUUGUUGGGUCUUCACUGACUCAGUAACGAAGCUAACCGCGUGAAGUUGACCGCCUGGGGAGUACGGCCGCA